rnacentral:tRNA from 1 species
UAGAAUGAAGCUCGCAGGUUGGAGCAUUUAGCUGUUAACUAAAGUUUUAUGGGAUCGAGGCCCGUUAUUCUAG